CGUGUAGGCGGCUUGGUAAGUCAGAUGUGAAAGCCCUGGGCUCAACCCAGGAAGUGCAUUUGAAACUACCAGACUUGAGUACGGGAGAGGAGGGGGGAAUUCCCGGUGUAGAGGUGAAAUUCGUAGAUAUCGGGAGGAAUACCGGUGGCGAAGGCGCCCCUCUGGACCGAUACUGACGCUGAGACGCGAAAGCGUGGGGAGCAAACAG
rnacentral:rRNA from 1 species